rnacentral:rRNA from 1 species
CCUACGGGUGGCAGCAGUGCGGAAUAUUGGUCAAUGGGCGGGAGCCUGAACCAGCCAAGCCGCGUGAGGGAAGAAGGUACAGCGUAUCGUAAACCUCUUUUGUCCGGGGACAAAGGCUGGGACUAGUCCCCGGAUGCGUGUACCUGAAGAAAAAGCAUCGGCUAACUCCGUGCCCGCAGCCGCGGUAAUCCGGAGGAUGCGAGCGUUAUCCGGAUUUCUUGGGUUUAAAGGGUGCGCAGGCGGCCGGUUAAGUCAGCGGUAAAAGCCCGGGGCUCAACCCCGGCGAGCCGUUGAAACUGGCGGGCUGGAGUUGGCGAGAGGGACGCGGAAUGCGCGGUGUAGCGGUGAAAGGCUUAGAGAUCGCGCAGAACCCCGAUUGCGAAGGCAGCGUACCGGCCCCACACGGACGCUGAGGCACGAAAGCGUGGGUAUCGAACAGGAUUAGAUACCCGAGUAGUC